UACGGAGGGUGCAAGCGUUAUCCGGAUUUAUUGGGUUUAAAGGGUGCGCAGGCGGGACAAUAAGUCAGCGGUGAAAGCCCACAGCUUAACUGUGGAAUUGCCAUUGAUACUGUUGUUCUUGAAUGUAGUUGAAGUGAACGGAAUGUAACAUGUAGCGGUGAAAUGCAUAGAUAUGUUACAGAACACCGAUUGCGAAGGCAGUUCACUAAGCUAUUAUUGACGCUCAGGCACGAAAGCGUGGGGAUCAAACAGG
rnacentral:rRNA from 1 species